rnacentral:misc_RNA from 1 species
AAGUCGUAACAAGGUAACCGUAGGUGAACCUGCGGUUGGAUCAUUAUUAUAAUGACGCUUUUGAAGGGAGACGAGUGAAGCCUAGCUUUGCUGCAGUACCCUUCAAAAGUGACUAACCCUUUGUGCAAUGUAAUGUUUUUUGGGUCUAGCGUUAAAAACUAGGCCCUGCCAUUUUGAAAACCAAUUUUAAACUUGACUAAAACUUUAAAAAUAAAAUUUUAAAACUAUAGACAACGGAUCUCUUGGUUCUC